CCUACGGGUGGCAGCAGUGAGGAAUAUUGGUCAAUGGACGAGAGUCUGAACCAGCCAAGUAGCGUGAAGGAUGACUGCCCUAUGGGUUGUAAACUUCUUUUAUAAAGGAAUAAAACGAGGCACGUGUGCCUUUUUGCAUGUACUUUAUGAAUAAGGAUCGGCUAACUCCGUGCCAGCAGCCGCGGUAAUACGGAGGAUCCGAGCGUUAUCCGGAUUUAUUGGGUUUAAAGGGAGCGUAGAUGGGUUGUUAAGUCAGUUGUGAAAGUUUGCGGCUCAACCGUAAAAUUGCAAUUGAUACUGGCAGUCGUGAGUACAGUUGAGGUAGGCGGAAUUCGUGGUGUAGCGGUGAAAUGCUUAGAUAUCACGAAGAACCCCGAUUGCGAAGGCAGCUUACUAAACUGUGACUGACAUUGAUGCUCGAAAGUGUGGGUAUCAAACAGGAUUAGAGACCCCUGUAGUC
rnacentral:rRNA from 1 species